UGAUCAACAUCACUUAUUCAAUAUUGUGAAGCACAGUAAAUCUUGCAGGAAAUGCUGGAGCACUAUAUACUUACGACAAGAUUUCUACAUGUAGCAACGUGUUUAUUGAACACCAUUAACCUACCACAAAACUUUAAUAUCGUGAGAAGAACCACAUAAGAGUUACAACCACAUUUUCAAUUUAUUUAUGCUCUGCAACCAUAGAACAGCAAAUAUCACAUGAGAAGAAGAUCAAAGGUCUCUGAAGAUCAUGAUACUUUGGAAGAGCACAGCUACAUUAAAAGUCCCUCCAGAGCGAGUUACCUUCACCAAUAUUCAUGAAUACUGUGGGACACUAGACAACCUGGGAGCAGAACAGAAUAUAAAAUCCGGUUUUGGAUCUCACAGAUGGCAGUGGGAGAUAUGAAAUUAGCCAGGAUGGUGCCUUUAACAAUGACAAUAAAGAGACAGUUCCUGGACAUUAACAGGAAGAAAUGAUGCCUGGACAGUGAAAAAACAAACAAAAAACAUCAUUGUGCGCUGGUUGGACAAUAAACUGAAUACAGAAAUCUCCCAUACAGAAGUAUCUCUACCCAUUAUUCUGAACCUUCAUUGAUACUUCACUAUACCCAACAUGGCAUUAUUUAUUUUGUAACCAAACUGUUCCUGUAGACAAGAGCCCUAUCAAAUAUAUUUCCCUGGAAUCCUGCACAACCAAUAAUAUUAAGUUAAAGAGUGGAACCCUAGAAAAGUGUUCCUGGAAAGACAAGCUUCCUUGCUCCAGUGCUUGGAUGCUGAUGCCACAUCUCACAUCUCAGUCCAAUAAAGGCCGAUUGGACCCAGCUGCUGGCUAUUCCUAAUCUCCUCUCUCACCCCGUGUUCUGUGCCUACGGAAGGAG